UACGUAGGGGGCAAGCGUUGUCCGGAUUUACUGGGCGUAACGAGCGCGUCGGCGGAAUGGUGAGCGGGGCCGGAAAGCCCCCGGCUCAACCGGGGAAGGGGCCGCGAACUGCCAUUCUUGAGGGGGAGAGGGGAGAGUGGAAUUCCUGGUGUAGCGGUGAAAUGCGUAGAGAUCAGGAGGAACACCCAUGGCGAAGGCAACUCUCUGGCUUCACCCUGACGCUGAGGCGCGAAAGCGUGGGGAGCGAACGGG
rnacentral:rRNA from 1 species